GUUGAGGUGAAUGUUGUCUGGUUCGAUGUCAUUCAUUUUGUGAAGCUGAAACAUUAACUGAAUGAUUUCGGACCAGGCUUCAUUCCCCCCAAC
rfam:Ricinus communis cultivar Hale ctg_1100012345561, whole genome shotgun sequence.